rnacentral:lncRNA from 1 species
AUCAAGUUUGAAACCCAUUAUGUUCUCCCAUGAUAUUGUCUUCUUCUUUUUUAUGUAUAUGUACAUGAACGAUUGGAGAGAGAUUUGGGCUGACGAUUCUCUAAGACUCUAACAUGGCUAUCCAUGCCUCUGUUUAAUUGGGUCAGAGUUGUGUCUUCUCUGGUUCUGGGCAGACUUGGCUUUAGCUGAUUGAGAUCCUAAGGUUUUUCCUGCUCAGGAAUGUUCACAAUUUAGGCUGAAAAGGUCAAAAGACAACCUAAUUUUGUGUAACAAUUCAAGUGUGGUGCUUCGUAGAUGUAUUCAGAUUGAUGAGAGGCUUGGUC